rnacentral:rRNA from 1 species
CGGGUCGGCGUACAGGUGCUGCAUGGCUGUCGUCAGCUCGUGCUGUGAAGUGUUGAGUUAAGUCCCGCAACGAGCGCAACCCUGCUAUCUGUUGCCAGCAAGUAAUGUUGGGGACUCAGAUGGAACUGCCGGUGACAAACCGGAGGAAGGUGGGGACGACGUCAAGUCAUCAUGGCCCUUAUGUCCUGGGCUACACACGUGCUACAAUGGCCGGUACAGAGCGCAGCGAAGCCGCGAGGCAAAGCGAAUCGCAAAAAGCCGGUCUCAGUACGGAUUGGAGUCUGAAACCCGACUCCGUGAAGUUGGAAUCGCUAGUAAUCGCGCAUCAGCAUGGCGCGGUGAAUACGUUCCCGGGCCUU